GAUGAACGCUGGCGGCGUGCCUAACACAUGCAAGUCGAGCGAGAAGGUUAUGAUGGAUUCUUCGGAUGACAGAUUAAUUGGAAAGCGGCGGACGGGUGAGUAACGCGUGGGUAACCUGCCCCAUACACAGGGAUAGCCAUUGGAAACGAUGAUUAAUACCUGAUAAUACAUAUGAAUCGCAUGAUUUAAAUGUCAAAGAUUUAUCGGUAUGGGAUGGACCCGCGUCUGAUUAGCUAGUUGGUAAGGUAAUGGCUUACCAAGGCGACGAUCAGUAGCCGACCUGAGAGGGUGAUCGGCCACACUGGAACUGAGACACGGUCCAGACUCCUACGGGAGGCAGCAGUGGGGAAUAUUGCACAAUGGGCGCAAGCCUGAUGCAGCAACGCCGCGUGAACGAAGAAGGCUUUCGGGUCGUAAAGUUCUUUCUUAGGGAGAAAAUGACGGUACCUAAGGAAUAAGCACCGGCUAAAUACGUGCCAGC
rnacentral:rRNA from 1 species